AGCAGUCGCCGCGGGAAAACAGAGGGUGCAAGCGUUAUACGGAAUGAUUGGGCGUAAAGGGAGUGCAGGCGGUUUAGUAAGUCUGAAGUUAAAGGCAUUGGCUCAACCAAUGUAUGCUUUGGAAGCUGUUAGACUUGAGUGCAGAAGGGGAGAGUGGAAUUCCAUGUGUAGCGGUGAAAUGCGUAGAUAUAUGGAGGAACACCGGUGGCGAAAGCGGCUCUCUGGUCUGUCACUGACGCUGAGGCUCGAAAGCGUGGGUAGCGAACAGGAUUAGAUACCCCGGUAGUCCCUGUCUCUUAUACA
rnacentral:rRNA from 1 species